rnacentral:rRNA from 1 species
AGGACGAACGCUGGCGGCGUGCUUAACACAUGCAAGUCGAGCGGUAAGGCCUUUCGGGGUACACGAGCGGCGAACGGGUGAGUAACACGUGGGUGAUCUGCCCUGCACUCUGGGAUAAGCCUGGGAAACUGGGUCUAAUACCGGAUAUGACCUGCUCUCGCAGUGGGGGGUGGGUAGGAAAGUAUUUAUCGGUGCAGGGAUCGGGCCCGCGGCCUAUCAGUCUUUGGUUGGGUGGGGUAAUCGGCCUACCGAAGGCGACGACGGGUAGCCGACUGGAGGAGGGUCGACCGGCCACGACGUGGACUGACGACGACCGGCCAGACCUCCGUACGGGAGGCAGCGAGGUAGGGAAUAGUUGACAACGAAGUGGGACGAAACGCCUAGAUGGACA